AACGACUCUCGGCAACGGAUAUCUCGGCUCUCGCAUCGAUGAAGAACGUAGCGAAAUGCGAUACUUGGUGUGAAUUGCAGAAUCCCGUGAACCAUCGAGUCUUUGAACGCAAGUUGCGCCCGAAGGCCAUUAGGCCGAGGGCACGUCUGGCUGGGUGUCACACAACG
rnacentral:rRNA from 1 species